rfam:Bombyx mori DNA, contig: Bm_scaf14_contig10870, strain: p50T/Dazao, build 2, whole genome shotgun sequence.
UUAACUCAAAUUUGUAUGGAGUUGGAACAGCGCCCCUAGCGGCAAACGCAGGCAAACGUUCCAACUCCAUACAAAUUAAGAGUUA